UUUCCAAUCUCAAGUAUGAUUAAGCCUGCGCCGCCGAUCAAGUUCUUCAACUGGUCGAGAGCAGCCAAUGGAAAAUGUACAUCAACACACGGGAUUUUCACGACCAAAAGACGCACUUACAAGUCUUACAUUUUCUCCAUAAUGCGGGUCGCCUCGUGUAUGCGCCGAGUUCCAAAAUCCGUGAACGCUCUUGGGUGACUUUGAAGACCGAUGUUGACAUGACACGCUGCUUGUGCGGCGGACGUCACUGAGGACGCCGUGCGGAUGCUAAAGUGGGAAGGGUGGGCGUGAAAGAGGACGCCAAAUGUGCAGGAUCGUUGGUGACUCGACUCUCCUUUACACUGAAGGUGGCAAUCAAGUAAAAAUUGGAAACACGUCUCAACAACGAAGCAGCCCGAGAGAUGGACGGAGGCAGCGAGGACGGAGACCGUUUGAGAACCUGAAGCUAACCGUACAAGGCGCAGCAGAGCGUCGUAAGCUAAGGCCUGGCUUCCACGACAAUGACUGAAAGGUUCCACAUCAACGAGGAUGAACUUCCUUCUGCAAAGCUGAAGAAGAAAAAGAAGAAAGCCCACUUUACCGCUUGCAAGUUGCAUGAGCGUGGCGCUAUCGCAAAAUAGAAGAUGGAGAAAGUCCAUGCAGCAGUUGCAAGGUUCAUCUCAAAAUGUUGCGCCCCCCCGCUACUUGAAGCUGCCAAACGAGGCAAAAAGAGAGCAUCUGGUAGCAGUUAGGACACAAACCAAACUUGUCGCCCUUUCUGUCUCUUCCCCCAAAGCAUUUCUUAUAAACAAAGCACCAACAAGGUCUGCUCGGAUUUGACAAUAGUCGCAAAACUGGGUCAGGGAUACCCCCCCAACCCCCCGACUUGCUCAGGUGAACUCGUUUUAUGAGCAUUCUUGAGCUGAGGGGGUGGGGAGUUAAAGAGAGAGUUGAAGUUAAAGAGGAAGGGCAAGGAGAGGGAGGAGCGGGAGGGGGAGGGUGGGGGACAUAGCUCUUGGCACCCCCUCUGCCAAUAAACUCUCGCGUCCGUCCAAUCGGCAAAGACUACAGAGAGUUAACUGUUCCAAAAUGCUUGCUGGUUAGAAACUGGAAUUGGGUGCAAUGAUUGCUUCAGGCUGCCCGUUUGGCUUGGGGAAGCGUGCGUGGCCCACAUAUGGCUCGGCUUGCCUGACACUUGGGUAUUACCGCAGAGUUGAAGAUGAGGGGAUCGAGGGGCUGAAUGAGAUGCGACUUGAGGAAAAAAAAAACUGUCCGAGUGCAAACUGCACCGCCUCACUUGACCCAACUCCGACAGGCGUCUGUGCGGCUUCCUCGGAGUCGUGAAUAACAAUCUGCUGAAGAGGACAAACGCGGAGGGAGCAAAGCUACCUGUUGAGCCUUUUCAAGAGCGCCCGUAAGAAAAGCAAACUUUGGAAAAGCCAACUCGUGAUCGCAACAUCCCGACCGAGUGACCACAAGACACAAUUCUUUCGG